AUUGAACGCUGGCGGCAUGCUUUACACAUGCGAGUCGAACGGCAGCGCGGGCUUCGGCCUGGCGGCGAGUGGCGAACGGGUGAGUAAUGCAUCGGAACGUGCCCAGUAGUGGGGGAUAGCCCGGCGAAAGCCGGAUUAAUACCGCAUACGACCUGAGGGUGAAAGCGGGGGACCGAAAGGCCUCGCGCUAUUGGAGCGGCCGAUGUCGGAUUAGCUAGUUGGUGGGGUAAAGGCUUACCAAGGCGACGAUCCGUAGCUGGUCUGAGAGGACGACCAGCCACAAUGGGAAUGAGAAGCGGGCCGGACUCACACGGGAGGCAGCAGUAGGGGAGCGUGCAGAAGGGGUGAACGCCUGACCGAGCAAUGACGCGGGAAGGAAGAAGGUCGUCGGAUCGUAAACCGCUGGUAUUAGAGAAGAACAAAAACGUACGUAAAUCUCCCGGUCAUGACGGUACCUAAUAAGAAAGCCACGGCUAACUACGUG
rnacentral:rRNA from 1 species